GUCCUUGUAGCUCAGCUGAAUAGAGCACCUCCCUCCUAAGGAGGUUGUCGGAGGUUUGAAUCCUCUCAGGGACGCCA
rnacentral:tRNA from 1 species